AUAGUUUUGUAUUAAUUUGCACCAAUGGUUUAUCAUGGGUUUGCAUCGAUUUCAGGUUUUUCUCUUGUACCCAUCAAGUCCAGAAGCUUACAAGUAGGAGUGCCCUUUUGAUUUUUACCUUACAGCAUGAAUCCAGGAGCAGGAACAUUCAUAAAAAUGCUAAGUGGGACCAGGCUUAUGCCAAAAAAUCCUAAGCACUCUGGCAGAGCAUUGCUCAGCCAUGAAGCUGUGUAUAUUGGAUAUAUAGAUCUCAUCUGGGUCAUCGCUGAGCUGGAAGAUGGAGCAGCUGCCAGGUUUCUGUCUGCUGGAUGGAGUCACUGAGUCUCAAGGUAGAAGAAAACUCCUACACACAAAUGUUGUAUUGGCAACCAAGGCCCAGCCCCAGGAGCUCAGUGCUGCUUUGAAUGGAGCACAGCAAUUGAUUGUCCUGGUUGAAUAAAUCCUUGAUUUCAGAUCAAGCUCUGGUGAAUGGCUCUGGCUAUUGCACAGAAAAGUCACAAGCAGAAUAUUGGAUCUCAGGGCCAUAUACUUCCUUUUGAGGAGCUCCUGUGUCUCCAUUUAAUUGCAUCUGCAAACAGAAGGAGGGAAAGCAGGCAGUGCCCUGUCUGUAGCAGUGCACUCCUAUUGAAAAGAAAGGAAAGAGCAUUAUCUUGUAAAGCGCUGUUCUGCUAGUGGUUCUCCAGCAAACGUGGCUACUUUGGAUGACUUCUGAGACACUGGAUAACUUGAUAUCUUGCAGGCUGUUAUCUGAAUCUACAAAGUUCACUUAGACAUUGGAACAGAAUCUUCAAACAAGGAACAACUGGGUGUCAUCAGCCAAUCUCCUCCCAUGAGUAAGUUCCCCAUGGUUUUAUAUAUGCUCUCCAACACAGUAUAAACUAUGUGCAGGAGGGCCACGAAGCUCUUCCAGAAGCAGCAGUACAUUCACACCUUCCCAACAGCAACAGCCUGGGAUUUUCAAGGGACACCAGAUCAUGGCCUUGGAUGAGCCCAGCACAAGAAAGCAGCUGUGCUUGGACUGUGCAUGGCACCACAGGGCACUGCUGGCCCUGGUGGGGCAGCAGUGCAUGGUGGGGAGAUGUGCAAAGCACUUUCUGGAUCAGGGAAGUUUUCUAUGAGGCAUAGCACAGUACAGGGUUGAGGAAAUGGUGGGUGUCUGGAGAUGUGGCUGCUACUGAGGCUGGAGGCUUUUAGAAAUUAAGAGCAUUGUGGCAGCAAUUACACAUCCUCAGUCCUGCUCCUCCCUUCCCUCCUGCAACCUGUGGAAUUUGGGAUAUUCCUCUGAAGUAAGUUUCUGGACAUACAAUGAAGGCUCAGAUCUUGUCUUUUCUCAAAGUUAACCGGAUUUCCUCUGUAAAAAGAGGGAUUUUUCUACCAGACAUUGAUGCUUUGGCCUCAGCUAAAGAAAAAAUUCUGGGGUUUGUGAUUUCCUUGUCCCACUGGAGAGACUGACAGCACUAAGGGAAUGUUACCUGGCCCCUCUUCUCAUCACCCCCAAAACAUCAUGCCCUAGAAAUGGCAGGGCUGCAAAAAAAACCCCAUUUACUUUCACGUUGGGCUUUGUGGGAACCACAUUUCCUGCCAGUCUCUGCAACCAGAGGGCUGAACACUGAUUUCAUUUAUUAAGGAUGGAAAUAUAUGGGUGAACUCCUCGGGUAGGAACACGCAGUUCUGAUUGCUGGUUCUUCAAGAAAAAUGGGAAAUCCUGCUAUUCACAGCAGAAUUGCUCUGUUUUCCCUGCUCAUUUUGAGCCUGUGUGCAGUGUGCUGUCUGUGUGCUGUUCCCCAGCACGUGGCAGGGGUCCAGCCUGUGCCCACAACAGCAGGUGCCCCCUGGAAGAAGGGGAAAAGAGGGAAUUGCAUACAAUAAAAAAUGAGAGACUAGAGAAAUGCUAAUUAUU
rnacentral:lncRNA from 1 species